rnacentral:rRNA from 1 species
AGAGUUUGAUCCUGGCUCAGAUUGAACGCUGGCGGCAUGCCUAACACAUGCAAGUCGAACGGGGGUAGGGGCAACUCUACUUCAGUGGCGGACGGGUGAGGAAUGCGUCGGAAUCUACCCUAUGGUGGGGGAUAACACAGGGAAACUUGUGCUAAUACCGCAUGAUGUCGAGAGACCAAAGCAGGGGACCGCAAGGCCUUGCGCGAUAGGAUGAGCCGACGCCCGAUUAGCUAGUUGGUAGGGUAAAGGCCUACCAAGGCGACGAUCGGUAGCUGGUCUGAGAGGAUGAUCAGCCACACUGGGACUGAGACACGGCCCAGACUCCUACGGGAGGCAGCAGUGGGGAAUAUUGGACAAUGGGCGCAAGCCUGAUCCAGCAAUGCCGCGUGUGUGAAGAAGGCCUGCGGGUUGUAAAGCACUUUUGUUCGGGAAGAAAACGGAUCGGUUAAUACCCGGUUCGGAUGACGGUACCGAAAGAAUAAGCACCGGCUAACUUCGUGCCAGCAGCCGCGGUAAUACGAAGGGUGCAAGCGUUAAUCGGAAUUACUGGGCGUAAAGCGUGCGUAGGCGGCUUUUUAAGUCGGAUGUGAAAUCCCCGGGCUCAACCUGGGAAUGGCAUCCGAUACUGGGGAGCUAGAGUUUGGGAGAGGGUGGUGGAAUUCCCGGUGUAGCGGUGAAAUGCGUAGAGAUCGGGAGGAACAUCAGUGGCGAAGGCGGCCACCUGGCCUAAAACUGACGCUGAGGCACGAAAGCGUGGGGAGCAAACAGGAUUAGAUACCCUGGUAGU